GUGGGGAAUAUUGGACAAUGGGCGAAAGCCUGAUCCAGCCAUGCCGCGUGUGUGAAGAAGGUCUUCGGAUUGUAAAGCACUUUAAGUUGGGAGGAAGGGCAGUAAGUUAAUACCUUGCUGUUUUGACGUUACCGACAGAAUAAGCACCGGCUAACUUCGUGCCAGCAGCCGCGGUAAUACGAAGGGUGCAAGCGUUAAUCGGAAUUACUGGGCGUAAAGCGCGCGUAGGUGGUUUUGUAAGUUGUAGGUGAAAUCCCCGGGCUCAACCUGGGAACUGCCUCCAAAACUGCAUGACUAGAGUACGGUAGAGGGUAGUGGAAUUUCCUGUGUAGCGGUGAAAUGCGUAGAUAUAGGAAGGAACACCAGUGGCGAAGGCGACUACCUGGACUGAUACUGACACUGAGGUGCGAAAGCGUGGGGAGCAAACAGGAUUAGAUACCCCAGUAGUCC
rnacentral:rRNA from 1 species